CCCGCGUCGUCCCAUCCCGAUCGAUCGAUUGAUCGAGUGAGAGAGAGAGACUGAGAGAGAGAGAGAGGGGGGGGGGCGAGGCGAUGGGGUUGAGAUUGUGGGUGGUGGCGCUUACCUUGGCGUCUUGGUGGUGCAUCCCUGCGGAGGGCGGCGGGGGAGGACGUGACGAAGAAGAAAGGGAACGGGGUCGGUCGCUGCUCGGCUUCACGGAAGCCAAGGGGAACGCUUCCUAUCAGUGCUCUCCCUCCGGGGCUUGCCUCCCCUGCCAGCACUCGGAAAAGAAUGAUGAGAAGUUUCUCUGCAGUGAAACUGGCUAUCAUGUGCCUUUGAAGUGUACAGAAAUCAAACACAGUGACAAGGAAGAAAAUAAGAAUAAAGUGAAGAGAAGGCUGUCCUCUCUUCCAAAGCAUCCAACCAUUGUGCAAAAACAUUUGUUUGAUGCAAUCAACAACUAUAAAGUGAGAAAACUUUUGGAUGAUUCGGUAAAACGGGAAGUUGGGAAUCAGAGCUACAUUACUUACAGGAGCUGUGUACCUGUCAUCGGUGAAGAGAAAUUAUCUGUUUUUGGUUUUGAGGUGAUUAUGGGGGGGUUGUUACUUAUAAGUGGGCCGGUCGUGUAUCUGCGGCAAAAGCGUAUAUCCAUUCAGGGGGUUGGAUUCAUGAAGAUCCCAGCAACUGUUCCUAAGCUCUAAUGUUGUGGAGCAGAUAAAGGAUAUACAACACAAUGUUUCCUGCAGAUAGACACACUAUUGCAUCUGCUAAGAGUUUCCUGUGCCAUGUGUUUCUAGCAUAUCAUUAAAAAAUAUAUAUCACUUGUAUUCAUUGAACGACAGUGUUGAUGUUCUCCACCUGUUCACAUACUCGUUGCACCAAUCCUCUCCCUCUUUAUCUAUCUCCAUUCAAGAAAGAAUGGCUGUUACAAAAGGAGCUCAUGCCUUGCCGAUGAAUUCGACAUCGAAGAGAAGGGUGGAAUUUGGAGGAAUGAGACAAGAACCUGAUCCAUACAAAACAGCAUUUGAGCAUAUACAUGUCUUAAUUCAUUUGUUCAAGUUAUCUGUUCUAAUUUGAUGUGCUGCCUAAUUUA